rnacentral:rRNA from 1 species
CGUAGGGCGCAAGCGUUGUCCGGAAUUAUUGGGCGUAAAGAGCUCGUAGGCGGCUUGUCACGUCGGGUGUGAAAGCCCGGGGCUUAACCCCGGGUCUGCAUCCGAUACGGGCAGGCUAGAGUGUGGUAGGGGAGAUCGGAAUUCCUGGUGUAGCGGUGAAAUGCGCAGAUAUCAGGAGGAACACCGGUGGCGAAGGCGGAUCUCUGGGCCAUUACUGACGCUGAGGAGCGAAAGCGUGGGGAGCGAACAGGAUUAGAUACCCUGGUAGUCCACGCCGUAAACGUUGGGAACUAGGUGUUGGCGACAUUCCACGUCGUCGGUGCCGCAGCUAACGCAUUAAGUUCCCCGCCUGGGGAGUACGGCCGCAAGGCUA